AUGAACGCUGGCGGCGUGCCUAAUACAUGCAAGUCGAACGAGUUCUCGUUGAUGAUCGGUGCUUGCACCGAGAUUCAACAUGGAACGAGUGGCGGACGGGUGAGUAACACGUGGGUAACCUGCCCUUAAGUGGGGGAUAACAUUUGGAAACAGAUGCUAAUACCGCAUAGAUCCAAGAACCGCAUGGUUCUUGGCUGAAAGAUGGCGUAAGCUAUCGCUUUUGGAUGGACCCGCGGCGUAUUAGCUAGUUGGUGAGGUAAUGGCUCACCAAGGCGAUGAUACGUAGCCGAACUGAGAGGUUGAUCGGCCACAUUGGGACUGAGACACGGCCCAAACUCCUACGGGAGGCAGCAGUAGGGAAUCUUCCACAAUGGACGCAAGUCUGAUGGAGCAACGCCGCGUGAGUGAAGAAGGCUUUCGGGUCGUAAAACUCUGUUGUUGGAGAAGAAUGGUCGGCAGAGUAACUGUUGCCGGCGUGACGGUAUCCAACCAGAAAGCCACGGCUAACUACGUGCCAGCAGCCGCGGUAAUACGUAGGUGGCAAGCGUUAUCCGGAUUUAUUGGGCGUAAAGCGAGCGCAGGCGGUUUUUUAAGUCUGAUGUGAAAGCCCUCGGCUUAACCGAGGAAGCGCAUCGGAAACUGGGAAACUUGAGUGCAGAAGAGGACAGUGGAACUCCAUGUGUAGCGGUGAAAUGCGUAGAUAUAUGGAAGAACACCAGUGGCGAAGGCGGCUGUCUGGUCUGUAACUGACGCUGAGGCUCGAAAGCAUGGGUAGCGAACAGGAUUAGAUACCCUGGUAGUCCAUGCCGUAAACGAUGAAUGCUAGGUGUUGGAGGGUUUCCGCCCUUCAGUGCCGCAGCUAACGCAUAAGCAUCC
rnacentral:rRNA from 1 species